rnacentral:rRNA from 1 species
GUGGGGAAUUGUUCGCAAUGGGCGCAAGCCUGACGACGCAACGCCGCGUGGGGGAUGAAGGUCUUCGGAUCGUAAACCCCUGUCGAGUGGGACGAACGGCCAUCGGUUUAAUAAACCGGUGGAGUGACGGUACCGCUAAAGGAAGCCACGGCUAACUCUGUGCCAGCAGCCGCGGUAAUACAGAGGUGGCAAGCGUUGUUCGGAAUUACUGGGCGUAAAGGGCGCGUAGGCGGCCCUCUAAGUCAGACGUGAAAUCCCCCGGCUUAACCUGGGAACUGCGUCUGAUACUGGAGGGCUAGAGUUUGGGAGAGGGAUGUAGAAUUCCAGGUGUAGCGGUGAAAUGCGUAGAUAUCUGGAGGAAUACCGGUGGCGAAGGCGGCAUCCUGGACCAAUACUGACGCUGAGGCGCGAAAGCUAGGGGAGCAAACGGGAUUAGAUACCCGUGUAGUCC